GUAGUACUUCCUCCGAUCCAUAUUAAGUGUCACAGUUUUGUAUAGAAAUGCAUGUACAUAACAAAUUUGUCUACAUACAUGCGUAUUUAGACAAAUCUGUGACGAUUAAUAUGAAUCGGAGAGAGUAGUGA
rfam:Brachypodium distachyon strain Bd21 chromosome 5, whole genome shotgun sequence.